CCAACUAUAGAAAUUGACAAUGCGUCACCUAAAAACGCUUGAGCAGUGGGUUUACCUAAAACCAAGGCGGAUAUAUGCAAAUAUUUUUGGUUUGCCAAUUUCAAUGCGCAAUUUCAUGAAAUAAGCCAACUAAAUUAAACGCAGUUUUCGGACAUUAAUUGGGUUUCAAAUGGAAAAUAUUACGCUGAGUCGUAAAUAAGCAAUCUGCUCACACAGAAUUAUAGAUGCCAUCAAGCGACAAAAGCCGCGCCAUUGUGUUGUGCCUAUAGAGUGAAGAGUAUUAUCCAGUGAUCAUUGUAUAAUUAACAACAGCGAUCGCUAAAAAGCCACGACGCCUGGUGAAUAAGUCAGCUAUAUAUAUGUACAUAUACAUAUAUACAAGAGACUGCUCCCAGCUAAAGUUGACUAGCCUACACUCAGAGAAAAUCCAGCACAAGCCUUGAAACUUUAUCAAAGAUAUAUCCCUAGAGAUAAAUUUAAUCUUAUUCCGAGUAUGCAAAUUCUUGUUAAUACAAUGCAUGAACAUUUCUCUCGGUGUAGAUACCCCCUGCAUGUCUGUAGAGCUCUACGUUCUUGCCUUUGAUGCAGUCAGGCAGGCGGCCAGGCAAACAAAGAUCAAAGCUUUGCCUUUGCAUUGGCUGUGACAUCAUUUAACAGUCAUUCCAUAAUCACAAUAAUACUUGAAAGAUAUCUAUGAUCGCGGCAUUAUAAUACAAGUUGUGUAAUUUGUGGCCUGCAAUUCCCUAGAUGAUGAUUGCAAUCAAAAAAGCCUUCCAUGGAAUGCCACAAUGUAAGCAUGUUGCUGGCUAUUUUUGGCAGAUUAUACGGAAAUGUGCUACACUGAAGAUUUAGGUGGAAUCUAUAGCUGAAUAUCGUAUUAUUGGCGCCGAUUUUGAAUGGGCCAUAUUAAUCAGAGAACGGGAGAGCAGCAGCUGGCACGAACAAGCCCCAAAAUUCCGGUUAAACUGCAAACGUGCGAAUACUUUGCUUUUUAAUUGUACGAUUAUGUUUUGUUUAUAUCUUUUAUAAAGAGUUCUAGGUAAAGUUUAUAAAAAAACACACACAAACCCAUACACUAA